UACGAAGGGGGCUAGCGUUGCUCGGAAUCACUGGGCGUAAAGCGCACGUAGGCGGAUUGUUAAGUCAGGGGUGAAAUCCUGGAGCUCAACUCCAGAACUGCCUUUGAUACUGGCGAUCUCGAGUCCGGGAGAGGUGAGUGGAACUGCGAGUGUAGAGGUGAAAAUUCGUAGAUAUUCGCAAAGAACACCAGUGGCGAAGGCGGCCCACUGGCCCGGUACUGACGCUGAGGUGCGAAAAGCGUGGGGGA
rnacentral:rRNA from 1 species